rnacentral:rRNA from 1 species
GAUGAACGCUAGCUACAGGCUUAACACAUGCAAGUCGAGGGGAAACGACAUCGAAAGCUUGCUUUUGAUGGGCGUCGACCGGCGCACGGGUGAGUAACGCGUAUCCAACCUGCCCAUCACUUGGGAAUAACCUUGCGAAAGUAAGACUAAUACCCAAUGAUAUCCCACGAAGGCAUCGGAAUGGGAUUAAAGAUUUAUCGGUGAUGGAUGGGGAUGCGUCUGAUUAGCUUGUUGGCGGGGUAACGGCCCACCAAGGCAACGAUCAGUAGGGGUUCUGAGAGGAAGGUCCCCCACAUUGGAACUGAGACACGGUCCAAACUCCUACGGGAGGCAGCAGUGAGGAAUAUUGGUCAAUGGGCGAGAGCCUGAACCAGCCAAGUAGCGCGCAGGAAGACGGCCCUAUGGGUUGUAAACUGCUUUUAUAAGGGAAUAAAGUGGGUCACGUGUGACUUUUUGCAUGUACCUUAUGAAUAAGAACCGGCUAAUUCCGUG